CUACAAACCCAAACUCCUACCUAAUUUUUGACAAAAUAUCGCCUCCAGACCGAUUCGACUUCUUCUUCCUUCUCAUUGAAAAAUCAAUCAUAAAUCACUAUGUUAUCUUCUCCACCGAUUCACCUGCGUAGAGUCUCAUUUCCACCCCUAUCACUCAUAAAGACCCAACCGUUAUUGCAUUAACACAAAGCUAAUCAACUCUUCCAAUUCUCACACCUAAAAACGUUAUAUAUAUAGCUCUUUUACGGUGCUCUCAUUCACCAAGAAGCUACCUUCAUCAGUUUGCAACUCUUGACUAAUGCUUCUUCAUUAGGCCAAGAUCUCAUACAUUUAUCCUUUUGCUCCCUUCUUUGCUCGACAAUCUUUCGCAAGGUGGAUUAUCUAUGUGACCAAGGAGCCACCGAAGUGAGCAGGAUGUAGCAAAGCGGCUGCAACUGAUCCAAACAAACCAAAAAGGCCAGCCGGGGCCUUCUUCUUUUUCAUGUAAUAAUCGCCUGCAAAUUCUUCUUUUAUUUUGUGUUCAGUAGUUUCCAUGGGUUAAAUUUUUUUAUUUAAAAAAGUUCUUCCUCUGGCUACUGUGAAAUCUAAUACAGGUUAGAUGGUUCGAAUCCUUUCUGUUAUUUUGAUGUCAAAAGUAUUUGACAAUGGUUAUAUGAACUUAUAAAUCUGUUGCCAUUAUUCCUCUUUUUAAUUUGAUUGUAAUGUAUUUUUUGUUGGUUUUCUAUUAUUUGUAUGGACAUACAAGUUGCAAAAGCUGCUGGAGAUAAGUGGAAAUUCUUGACAAAUGGGUGAGGAGAAAUAACUUCAUGUUGCCAAGGCUGAAAAUCACAAGUUUGACUACGAGAAGAACAUUGAGACCGUACAACAAGAAAUUGAAGAAAUAUCCAAAGGAAGAUGAGGGAUCUGAAAAAUCAGUUCCAGAGGUUAGGAUGAAAGAGAAAGGGUGCAAGAGCAUAAAAACUACACGCUACACAAACCUCUUGAAGCUAAGGACAUUGCAGCUAAGAAAGCUCAGAGAAAUUCUGAGUAUUUAAGGGAGAAAGAGAAGAAAACGGUAUCAGCGAAAGGCUACAAUUGUUUAAGAAAUAUGUGAAGCAAUGAAAUUGAGCAAGGAAUCGUCUGGUGAUGGUGGCAGAAGCUGCUCAUUACGCCGAAGUGGCUACUCAUAAAACAGAUGUGGUUGGGUAGAUAGUGCAAGGGACAAACUCGAUUGCAGGGACGGUGGAAGGUGCAGUGGGAUAUGCAGGGCAUAAGGUGGCUAUAAGAAUGUGGAGUUGAUUAAAAAUAAAUCAGCAGCGGCUGCUAAUAUGGUGGUUGGAUACACAGUGAGCCAGAAAGAGAAAGCUCAACACAAAUGCCAAGAAAUGCACCAGGUACUACUCCGCUUACGUCAAAGAUCUUGAUUUAGCUCAUUCAAGUAUCAUAAUGUUGUUACGUGGUUCUCAAGAAACUGUUUUUAGAUUUGUUGAGUGGGGGUGAGGAAGAGAAGCUACCAGGGUUUGUCACCGAAUCAAGAAGAUGCUAUGGACCGAUGUAAGAGAAAUUAGAAGUAAGGAAAUUGUAUUCGGAUAUGGACCAAAAGGGUUCGGGUAUGAAGAAAGAUGUUUAAAUAUCAAAUGGAAUGUUUUUUCAAUUGUUUUUGCUUAUAAGGGUCCUUUAUCUAAAUAGCAUGAGACUAUGCUUCAGAAUAAUUCCCUUCUAAAUAAAAACCGCUCUUUUUCUAUUAAAUGGGUUGAAGUAUGUAACUGGUUAAGGUUUAUCAAUCUAA